CUAUUUCCUGACAUCUGCAGAACAGUGCUGCUAGCCGAGUAUCUUUACAGUGGCGCCGCUACAGUUCUCUGUUUCCAGAGGGCUUUAUGUAACGUGUAGGCACAUGACAUAAUGGGUCCGCGGCUCAGGAGCGCAUCUGAAACGCCUUUGGGAUGCAGUUGGAGAAACUGGCAGAGUUAUGGCAAGAGAUCAGUGAGCCUUCAUGAGAUCACCCAGGAUCAUAUGAUCGCCUGAAAGCCAACUGAUAUCUUAGGCUCAUCUCCUGGACCAAGUCUUUGCUACUUGUACAUUGUGGUGUUUGCCUUUAUUUUAUGACGCUUCAACAUGAGAAGUCCUUU
rnacentral:lncRNA from 1 species